rnacentral:rRNA from 1 species
GGUUAAGCGACUAAGCGUACACGGUGGAUGCCUUGGCAGUCAGAGGCGAUGAAGGACGUGCUAAUCUGCGAUAAGCGUCGGUAAGGUGAUAUGAACCGUUAUAACCGGCGAUUUCCGAA